CAAAAGAGGUCAGAUGGCAUAAAGACAUCAGUAAAUACUGCUGCAGGGGAAAAUGAAACAACUUCAACAUAUAUCUUUUCACAAUGGAAAUUUCCUCAUGACUGAAGAAGUUGCUGGUCAUUUUAUUUCAAUGUUCCCUUCUACCUCCCUCUUAACCACAGCAGAAGAGAUUAUUAUGAGAAACAACUUCAGUUUUAUAUUUAACCAUAUUGUUACAUAGUUUCACUCACUAUAUUUAUUUUAUGUUGUGUAUUACACAUUCUUAUCUAUUAAUAUUAAUAAAUGGUAUUAAAUUA